rnacentral:rRNA from 1 species
ACAGAGUUUGAUCCUGGCUCAGAUUGAACGCUGGCGGCAGGCUUAACACAUGCAAGUCGAGCGGGGGAAGGUAGCUUGCUACCGGACCUAGCGGCGGACGGGUGAGUAAUGCUUAGGAAUCUGCCUAUUAGUGGGGGACAACAUCUCGAAAGGGAUGCUAAUACCGCAUACGUCCUACGGGAGAAAGCAGGGGAUCUUCGGACCUUGCGCUAAUAGAUGAGCCUAAGUCGGAUUAGCUAGUUGGUGGGGUAAAGGCCUACCAAGGCGACGAUCUGUAGCGGGUCUGAGAGGAUGAUCCGCCACACUGGGACUGAGACACGGCCCAGACUCCUACGGGAGGCAGCAGUGGGGAAUAUUGGACAAUGGGGGGAACCCUGAUCCAGCCAUGCCGCGUGUGUGAAGAAGGCCUUAUGGUUGUAAAGCACUUUAAGCGAGGAGGAGGCUACUCUAGUUAAUACCUAGGGAUAGUGGACGUUACUCGCAGAAUAAGCACCGGCAUC